CAGAGAAGCCCAACUUCAACACCAAUGUGGUACUCAAAAAGCUGUCUUCCCUAGCCAGACAGACCAGACCUCAGAACAUCAACAGCUCAGACAAUAUCUGUGUGCUCCAUGCGGAGACUAAGGAGCUCUUCUGUGAGGCUGACAAGAGAUUGCUCUGUGGGCCCUGCUCUGAGUCACCAGAGCACAUGGCUCACAGCCACACCCAAUAGGAUGGGCUGCUGAGGAAUGCAGGGAGAAACUUAUAAAGGAAAUGGACUAUUUAUGGAAAAUCAAUCAAGAGACACGAAACAAUCUAAAUCAGGAAACUAGCAAAUUUUGUUCAUUAGUGGACUAUGUGUCAUUAAGGAAGAGGAUAAUCACUAUUCAGUAUCAAAAGAUGCAUCUAUUUCUCAAUGAGGAGGAGCAACUGCAUCUGCAGGCACUGGAAAGAGAAGCAAAAGAGCUUUUCCAACAACUACAAGACAGUCAAGUGAGAAUGACCCAACAUUUAGAAAGGAUGAAAGACAUGUACAGAGAGCUGUGGGAGACAUGCCACAUGCCUGACGUGGAGCUGCUCCAGGACUGAUUUGGCACAGAUGCAAAAGCCCCAGCCAGUGAACCCAGAGCUCACUUCAUGGUGCAUAACUGGAGUCCUAGACAUGCUCAACAACUUCAGAGUGGAUAAUGCUCUGAGUACGGAAAUGACUCCUUGCUAUAUAAGCCUUUCUGAGGAUGUGAGAUAUGUGAUAUUUGGAGAUGACCAUCUCAGUGCUCCCACGGAUCCCCAGGGAGUGGACAGCUUUGCUGUGUGGGGAGCACAAGCAUUCACCUCCGGCAAGCAUUACUGGGAGGUGGAUGUGACCCUCUCCUCCAACUGGAUUCUGGGAGUCUGUCGAGAUUCCAGAACAGCAGAUACCAAUAUCGUUAUUGAUUCUGAUGAAAGAUUUUUUUUAAUUUCCUCAAAGAGGAGCAAUCACUAUAGUCUCUCCACCAACUCUCCACCUUUAAUUCAGUAUGUGCAAAGGCCUCUGGGUCGGGUUGGGGUGUUUCUGGAUUAUGAUAAUGGAUCUGUGAGUUUUUUUGAUGUUUCUAAAGGUUCUCUUAUCUAUGGUUUUCCUCCUUCCUCCUUCUCGUCCCCUCUGAGGCCUUUCUUUUGCUUUGGUUGUACAUGAAAAGUUGGUUUCAUGAUGAUUUAUUGUGACCUCCCAUAUAUAAGGCAAAUACUGUCCUAAGACACUAUGUGUGAGAGCCUGUGAGCGCACUGUAACUUCAUGGAAUGUAAUUACUUUAUGGUUAUAAAUGGGAUAACCACCUUGAAUGUAUACAUUCAUUAAUUAAGUUAUUUUAAUUAAUAAAUUAUUGUGGAAUCUUUACUAG
rnacentral:lncRNA from 1 species